AGAUAAGAAUGAUCUUAUUUUGUAGUUAAUAUUUUCAAUUGUAGAUUAGGAGCUGCAUUCUAAAGAAUUAUGUUCUUCCAUCCUUUAUAAAGACAAACCAUGUCAUCAUUUAUGACAUUAGUAAUAAAAAAAAUCGAUUGAUAUUGAUAUUAAUUCAAAUUUUUAUAAAUACUUCCUUACCUUAUGACAAUAGUAAGCUAGAAGUUUAGUUUUUAUUUUAUUUGUAAAUUCUUACAAUCAUGGACCAACAAAAUUAGUGAUCUGCUAUUUGCUCCAAAGUUAACAUUGAUAGUAUUAUUGAUGUGUAGGUGUAGAAAAAAAUUUUUAAACACCCCAAAGUGGAUAUGGUAGGCAAGAUUACCAUCAUGCAAUUGCUGCUGAAAAGCUGUCAAACUUAAAUCCUUUUCUUCAUCCUGAUGCCAAACUCAGGAUUUAAUGUCAAAAUCAAAGUUUGAGAGGGAAUUUGCAGCUUGAAAGUAGAUGGAUUUAUUGCAUUUUGUACGUUAAUAGCAAUUUCCCAUUUUGAUUUGCAAGGACAUUCUCACAAAUUUAGAGACUACUACGUCCCUCUUGGCAGAUAUGUUCUGAGACUUACAAGACUUACAAUGAAUAUAAAGCAUAAUAUUAAAUUUGUAUCAGCAAAAAUGGUGUCCUCACACACUUUAUAUAUAAAAGAAACUGAGGAAACAUGAAUUUUUUAUAGUUA